GAACUUUCUUUUCCGAAGAUAGCAAUGUGCUGUCAACGUUUUACGGAUCAUUCCAUUUUGCGUUACCACAGCGAGGGGGACUUUGGCAUUUUAAUCUAUUAAUUUUUUGACGUAAGACGCAUCAUUGUAACGUUAAGUGCAUUGACUUUUUAUACUCGAACAUUUUAUUUUGAUUCAGUUGAAUUUAUCCAGCUGUAUAAUUGUGAAUGAUCUAGCUAACUUAGCUGGCUGAGUUGAUAUUACAAACGGCUAACUCACAGACACGAUUUAUUUUUUAAACAUUUUGUGAAAUGUUCUUGGACAGCAUGGAAACUAAAGUGGAAUUCGAAGUACUGAAACCUUGCGACUCCAGAAGAUCUGGUAAACUUUCAAAGUGCAGACUGAGGAAAGUUCUCCAUUUGAGUUCCAAGGAAGGCCUGAAACGGUGGCGCACCAACCUUGUCAAAGCCACUCUCAAAAAAUACAUUCGUUGCGAACAGAAGAGGGUGCUCACUAAACCGGUCAACCAAGAACAACUUUUGACGGGCAACGGCGAAGAUAUGACGUAUAUGGCGACCGAGAAUAUCGGCAGAAUUACACGACCACUAGGCGCAAUGGCGCCAAAGAAUACAACACAGUAUCUGAUGGACAUUGUAUACGACGACAUGCACAUUGACACCAGUUCCAACCAGUUCAAGUCGCAACCAGUUUCAUUUGUUUCUAGCGCCUCUCUUUCACCCAGGAGCGCGUGUGAAAGUUCUCUUGAUUUUCAACAGAGGGACUUCGACGAAAUGUAUCUCCAUUUUGGAUCAUGUUGAUCAGGCUUGAACCAGUCUGUGGCAGAGCUGACCAAUGCAUUGACUCUAAACCUCGCAAACCAAGCGACGCACCGGACGCUGCCUGUCGGUGGGCGCUCGCUCGCAGCGUCGCUUCCGGUGAAGUUGAGUCCACCGCUAAGGUAUCCCAGGUAAACCUGCGUCACCAACAGGUCACUCCGUUCUUCGACAUGCCUCCUACCUGACUGCAAUCAGCUGGCCGUUGCCAGAUCGAUGGACACGUGCGGAUGACUGAGUAAGGUUUCAAGUCCACCUCACAUGUAGUGUUGCAGUUCUAAUGUAUACUUAAUGGAUAAUACUGACUUGAUUAGCAAUCAUGUUACCAAAUGCAAGUUUGGGUAAUAUUCACUCAUUACAGAUAUUUGUUACCCAUAGCAAAGACAUUCAAUCCAUUUUUUGAUUACUUAAUGUAAACGUUUGUUUAAACAUGUUGCCAAUGACAUCUGUGUAAAUGUAUUGUAUGUGUCUGGACAUGUUGAGAAAUCCUAACUUCCUAGUUAAAUGCUCGUGUGAAUAAAAGUGUAUGACCUGUUGCCA
rnacentral:lncRNA from 1 species